CAGGCUUAACACAUGCAAGUCGAGGGGCAGCGAGUAGAUUGCUUGCAAUCUAUGUCGGCGACCGGCGCACGGGUGCGUAACGCGUAUGCAACCUACCCAUUACAGGGGGAUAACACUGAGAAAUCGGUACUAAUACCCCAUAACAUCCAGGGAGGCAUCUUCUUGGGUUGAAAACUCCGGUGGUAAUGGAUGGGCAUGCGUUGUAUUAGUUAGUUGGUGGGGUAACGGCUCACCAAGACAACGAUACAUAGGGGGACUGAGAGGUUAACCCCCCACAUUGGUACUGAGACACGGACCAAACUCCUACGGGAGGCAGCAGUGAGGAAUAUUGGUCAAUGGACGCAAGUCUGAACCAGCCAUGCCGCGUGCAGGAAGACGGCUCUAUGAGUUGUAAACUGCUUUUGUACGAGGGUAAACGCAGAUACGUGUAUCUGUCUGAAAGUAUCGUACGAAUAAGGAUCGGCUAACUCCGUGCCAGCAGCCGCGGUAAUACGGAGGAUUCAAGCGUUAUCCGGAUUUAUUGGGUUUAAAGGGUGCGUAGGCGGUCGGAUAAGUUAGAGGUGAAAUCCCGAGGCUCAACUUCGGAAUUGCCUCUGAUACUGUUCGGCUAGAGAGUAGUUGCGGUAGGCGGAAUGUAUGGUGUAGCGGUGAAAUGCUUAGAGAUCAUACAGAACACCGAUUGCGAAGGCAGCUUACCAAGCUACUUCUGACGUUGAGGCACGAAAGCGUGGGGAGCAAACAGGAUUAGAUACCCUGGUAGUCCACGCAGUAAACGAUGAUAACUCGUUGUCGGCGAUACAAUGUCGGUGACUAAGCGAAAGCGAUAAGUUAUCCACCUGGGGAGUACGUUCGCAAGAAUGAAACUCAAAGGAAUUGACGGGGGCCCGCACAAGCGGAGGAACAUGUGGUUUAAUUCGAUGAUACGCGAGGAACCUUACCCGGGCUUGAAAGUUAGUGACAGAUCUGGAAACAGGUCCUCCCUUCGGGGCACGAAACUAGGUGCUGCAUGGUUGUCGUCAGCUCGUGCCGUGAGGUGUCGGGUUAAGUCCCAUAACGAGCGCAACCCCUACCGUCAGUUGCCAGCAGGUCAAGCUGGGCACUCUGGCGGGACUGCCGGUGUAAGCCGAGAGGAGGGUGGGGAUGACGUCAAAUCAGCACGGCCCUUACGUCCGGGGCUACACACGUGUUACAAUGGCAGGUACAGAGGGCAGCUACCCAGCGAUGGGAUGCGAAUCUCGAAAGCCUGUCUCAGUUCGGAUUGGAGGCUGAAACCCGCCUCCAUGAAGUUGGAUUCGCUAGUAAUCGCGCAUCAGCCAUGGCGCGGUGAAUACGUUCCCGGGCCUUG
rnacentral:rRNA from 1 species